rnacentral:rRNA from 1 species
UACGUAGGUGGCGAGCGUUGUCCGGAUUUACUGGGCGUAAAGGGCGUGCAGGCGGUUUGUUAAGUGCAGGGUGAAAGCUCCCGGCUCAACUGGGAGAGGUCCUUGCAUACUGGCGAACUCGAGGGAGGCAGAGGAAAGUGGAAUUCCCGGUGUAGUGGUGAUAUGCGUAGAUAUCUGGAGGAACACCGGUGGCGAAGGCGGCAUCCUGGACCAAUAUUGACGCUGAGGAGCGAAAGCCAGGGGAGCAAACGGG